GCAUCGAUGAAGAACGCAGCGAAAUGCGAUACGUAAUGUGAAUUGCAGAAUUCAGUGAAUCAUCGAAUCUUUGAACGCACCUUGCGCUCCUUGGUAUUCCGAGGAGCAUGCCUGUUUGAGUGUCAUGAAAUCUUCAACCCACCUCUUUCUUAGUGAAUCUGGUGGUGCUUGGUUUCUGAGCGCUGCUCUGCUUCGGCUUAGCUCGUUCGUAAUGCAUUAGCAUCCGCAACCGAAACUUCGGAUUGACUUGGCGUAAUAGACUAUUCGCUGAGGAUUCCAGACUUGUUCUGGAGCCGAGUUGGGUUAAAGGAAGCUUCUAAUCCUAAAGUCUAUUUUUUGAUUAGAUCUCAAAUCAGGUAGGACUACCCGCUGAACUUAAGCAUAUCAAUAAGCGGAGGA
rnacentral:rRNA from 1 species